GACGAACGCUGGCGGCGUGCUUAACACAUGCAAGUCGAGCGGUAAGGCCCUUUCGGGGGUACACGAGCGGCGAACGGGUGAGUAACACGUGGGUGACCUGCCCUUAGCUCUGGGAUAAGCCUGGGAAACUGGGUCUAAUACCGGAUAUGACUCCAUGACGCAUGUUGUGGGGUGGAAAGCCUUGUGCGGCUAGGGAUGGGCCCGCGGCCUAUCAGCUUGUUGGUGGGGUGAUGGCCUACCAAGGCGACGACGGGUAGCCGGCCUGAGGGGGCGACCGGCCACACUGGGACUGAGACACGGCCCAGACUCCUACGGGAGGCAGCAGUGGGGAAUCUUGCGCAAUGGGCGAAAGCCUGACGCAGCGACGCCGC
rnacentral:rRNA from 1 species